GGAGCCGGCCGGGCGGCCGCGGCUCGGUAAUGAGUCGAGGAAAGUCCGGACUCCACAGGGCAGGGUGCUGGGUAACGCCCAGGCGGGGUGACCCGCGGAAAGUGCCGCAGAGAGCAGACCGCCUCCGGCGCGAGCCGGGGGUAAGGGUGAAACGGUGAGGUAAGAGCUCACCAGCGCGCCGGGUGACCGGCGCGGCUCGGCAAACCCCACCCGGAGCAAGGCCAAGCAGGGAGCCUCCGGUCGAGGCGAUCGCCGACCGGGACGGGCGGCCCGUCCGGUGCUCCCGGGUAGGCUGCAUGGGCCGAGAGGCCCUGAGGGUCGCGGCAACGCGGCCCCCAGAGAGAUGGUCGCCACCGCGGGCACCCCCGCGGGACAGAAUCCGGCUUACAGGCCGGCUCCUCCG
rnacentral:RNase_P_RNA from 1 species